CCAUCCCUCCACCGCCGCGCCCCCGUCCCUCUGCUCGCCGCCGCGCGCCCCGUCCCUAUGCUAGCCGCCUCGACCCAUCCCUCCACCGCCGCGCCCCCGUCCAUCCUCUCCUCGGUGCCCGUCCUCGCUCCACCGUUGCCGAAUCUGGACGAGAUCGGGAGAAUCCGCCGGAUCUCGCGGAGCUGCUCGUUGUCCAUGCGGGGAGGACGAACGAGCUGCUCGUCGGACAUGCAGGGAGCACGGACGAGCUGCUCAUCGGCGUCCGUCCCACAGCCCCGCUGAAGACGGCGCCCAGCCCCCUCGACAACGCACUCUUCCUACUUGCCGCCCGGGUGCAAACAGCGACGGCGAGUAGGCGGCAAGUAUACUGCACCGAGAAGCGAUACAGGGGCAUGAAGCAAGCGAGUAGGAAUGCGCGGCGACCUGCUACUACACUAAUAGUAGCCUUGACGGAGUACCCGGGCCAGCUCGACAGGGCAUGCCGCCCGCUGGUAGACACUUGGUUGUGUGAGAUGGAGAUGAACCCCGGGUCGUCGCCUCUGCCGCCUGGACAAAGCUCCACCGAUGCUGGGGAUGAACCCUGCGUCUGUGAUGGUGAUGACGCUCUCCAUCUACUUUCUCCAGUGGCUAUAAAACAGAGCAGCGGCUGAAAUUUACCCAUUGAUUUCUUGGAGUGAUUCAAACCUAGGAAGCCUGCUACUUGUGCAAGCGACAGGGUAACAAGUUUCAGUUUUCUUAUUGAUGCACCUCAAUUUGCAAGUUGUGCGAAUACUUUGUUUGCACCUUAGUGGGACUGAAAUCUUCCUGAUACCAUGAGUCAUGGUAGUAGGCUGCUACGGCAAAAAACUGAUGCAGGCAAUGGAGAAACUCAUGCAGAUGAUGACUGAAGAAUUUUUCAUGAAUUUUCCAACCUGAAUUGGCUACAGAGGUUGGGAAAAGAGGAGUCCAGGCUCUAAUGAACAUAGGUUCUUUCGCAGAAACCAAUUCAACUAGACCAGGACUAUGUUUAUUAGUCCUCCAGUGUUUGUUGGAAUGAGAUGACACAUGGUAUGCCAGCUAACAAGCAACUGAAGCAAGACGAUUUUUGUAAUUUCUUGGAAAGAAUGAGCCCCUGAACCCAGGAUGGCGAAGGAUCCAAUAUGUCAGGACCAGUGAGGGAAUUGCAGAGCUUCAUAUUCAGUUUAUUUUAGGUCCUUGCCUACUUCAAGUGCCUAGAUUACAGGAAACAUGUUUUUUCAAGUGUCUACUUCAAGUAAGUUUCUUAUAGAAGUAGUCAGUUUGAUUCCUUCAAAAUAGUUGUUGCCUGAUAAUUUGUGUAUGACUAGAUAGUAGUACCUCAAAUUUGCUUCAGCUUCUUAAAACAGAGUAAUUUUGUAAAUCCUAACAGAACUCUAUCAGUCUGAACCAAUUUCUUGUAAAUCUGCAAUACAACAUAGCCUCAUCCGAUCCAAUCAUUGGUUUCAGAUCAAUACAUCCUUGUGCAUUCCUAUAAGAUCAAUAAAAUUCAGUUUGAUUGUGUCAAAAACUUGCUGCUUGACAAUCUAUAUGACUAGAUAGCAAUACCUUAAAAUUGCUUUUGGUUUUAAACUGAACUGAACUCAGUUGGGGCUGAACUGAACUCAGUUUGGUUCUACAAAAUAUAGGGUUGUAUUCAUUCUAUAAAAACUGAACUGAAGCUAAACGUUUGGUGGGCAAAAUAAUUUGAUGGACUGUAGUUUCUUUGAAUUUUUUUGUUAACUCUAAACUGGACUCAACUCAGUUUGAUUCUGUAAAAAAGAUUGUGACAGACUUAUAUAUAUGCAGCAGUCUUUCGCCAACACUCAAAUUAGAUGGGCAUGAUAUUUAAAAGAAAUCGACAUACUGUAGUUUAUGAGAAUUUGGCAAGAAACUCGGAACCGAUGGACUUGACUUGUGAAAAAAUGUAAUCAAUGGACGACUACAGUUUAUAUCAAACACAGAAUCGAUGGACUUUCGCAAUGCAGGCUUGCCCUUACCAUUUACCAGGUGGCGACUUGCCGGAGGAGCCGGUGGUGCUGCUGCGACCUUCUCUGGGCAAUGGUCAAUGAUGCAAGCUAAAACCGGGGAUGGGAUAGCGGCUCCGGGCGACAAUCAGAGGCGAGGCAGCACUGCAGACCGAGGACAAAGUGCUGCACCAGGGCGACGGCGCGGGGCGAGGAAGAAGCGGCGGAUGGGGCUGCGCAUAGGGGAGUUGGGGCGACGGCUCGGUUUAGCGCACGGGAUCGUAUUAACUCUGUUUUCUCCUAGGUACCUGCGCUGGUAUAGUUUCUCCGUGGGGUUACCAAACGAUUCUCUCUCCUCCUUGAUUAAGAUGUUACAUCAGUUUUCUGCUUACAUGGCAGGCUUAGCAUCCGUCCAGGGUGGAGCACUGGGAGCAGCCUUAUAGAAGUAAUGCAAUAUAUUCUCUCUUAUGCCUACUUGAAAUACUGUUGUGGGUUUGUACUUUGCCUCUCAUAUUGCAAGGAUAACACAUUGUAUGCCAAUUCUCUUAACUGUAGUAAGGAUGAAGCAGGAAAGUGUGCUGGACCUUCUAACAUGAAUAUUGUACAUGUACGAGCUACGAGCCACUAUUUUUUAUCAUAU